GAUCAAUAUGCUCAGUUGGUUAGAGCAUUGUGUUAAUAAUGCAAAAGUCACAAGUUUGAUUUUUGCUUUGACCA
rnacentral:tRNA from 1 species